GAAGGUGUCAAAUCCAAUCAUCCAAUCCAGUACCUGUUAUUAUUAGUCACGCAGCCAUAAACACGUGACAGUAUGGUAAAGAUAUUGGAGAGGGAGGACAGGUCCGAGGGCCGAGGGCCAUGAGUGUACCAUGGAGAUGGAGUCAGCAGGUGUCCAACCUAUUGGUAACAAUGUGACAGACCACAUGGCAUUGCACUGUAGAAGACACUAAUUGCCAUAUUCACCACUGUGAGAACCAUAUCUCCGGUUCAUUGUUGGUUUCUCUGUACACUAAAUGUGUGACAUGAAUACUCCUUGGAAUGGACAGCAGCGGGUACCUCUGGAAAGGUUUACUCAUUGUACAGCUGUUUCAUUUUUCAUAUUAUUAAAAGGGAACUGAAAUGUGAAAAUGACACUGUGCAAUGAUGAUUUGCUGUUGUAGGCUGCAUGGCAAUUCACUCUCUUCACUAAAGAGUGAUCAUUCUUCAUGCUUAUUUCAAACUUAUUCAGUCUUAUAUUUUAAAUUUAUUGGAAUUUUCUCUUCAAACAUUAAUUUUAGUAAUAAAGGUUAUAAAACAUUGAUCAUCUCCAUGACCAUGUUAUCUAAAAUCAGGGAUUUUUUUUGGUCACCCCUGUGGGAUAUGGUACCAACGUAUUUUUCAUAAACAAUAGGAAGGAAUUAAAAAUUCUGAACUAAAGAAGUAGGGGAAUAUCAGACUUCGUAUUUAGGUCACAUUCUUGGAUGUGACACCAUGCAGUUUGGUAGAUAGGUACUAGUGUUUCCAAAGAACCUCCUGCAACCAUCUUCAGGGCAGAUGGAAGCUGAAGACGGGUUGCUCCAAAAUGUUAGUACUAAACUACUGAGCUGUAUGGCGUCACAUCCCAGAAUCUUAAUGUAUGUCACCGUAUGAACCUAAGAUCUAUAUAUUUUGGAACUGUACAAUUAGAAUGUUGCCAUGUUGGUAUUGUUUGUAUGAAGGAUUUAACAUGGCAUGUCUUGAUAAGGUCCGGUUUUAUUUCUCAUAAAAAGUCUUAAGAAGUAACGCUUCCCUGCCCCUUUGCAAAGAAUUAACUGCAACUUUCAUAUUUGUUUUAUGCUGUAAGUCUUCAUAUAUAUAUGACAGUGUUAUUUUAGUCAUAUUGAAAUCAUAAAAUACAGUUGGCGCCUAAAUUGAAAAAGAAAAUACCUGAAGUAAUUCAUUAGAAAUGUAAGUCAUAAAUACAGUUUUAUGAUAAAACCAUAAUAGAAAUAGUAGUUCAGUGAGAUGCUGUCCGCUUAUUACCAAGUGUUCUUCAUAAAUUCAUCAGUUGUUGUGUUCCUGCUGUGUGAGACUAAUACAUUAGAUUUGUGAGUUGUUUUUUGAACUUCAGUGAACAUAAAAAUUAUUUUAAUUUAAAGGAAAAGAUUAUAUUAGGUUCUUUUGCUGCAUGAUUACAAAUGCUGACAACAUUGUGGAAAUUAUCCACUGACAAGAAUUGUGAAGUAGGUGCUUGUAAAUAUUUACAUUACUUUCACUGUCUUUGAAUGGAGUACCUAUAUAACAUGUUUGAGUGUAGAAGUCAGUGACUUUUUUGACUAGUGUAGUGCCUGCAGUCUUGAAUGAAUGCUUUUGUUAUAGGCAUAUGAAUGCAUCUUUGUGGAAUGCUGAUUUUGGUGUAGUUAUGUUUGUAUUUUGUCUUGGUUUUAGAAUAAGGGAUGUUGUAUAAAUUCAUGCAGUACACCUUUUUGUUAUAUAUUUUAAUUUGUUUUUUGAGAAGCUUCCUGAACACAUUUAUAAGUUAAUGUGUGUUAUGGAUAUAACAUUUUAAGAUACUUAGAUUUAAAUUUGCUUUGCACAGAUUUAUAUAAGUAUGUAAGUAAUUAAUAUUUUGAAUGCUCAGUAUGUGAUUUUGUGUGGUGUAUAUAAUAUUUGUGUUCACUGAAUAAACCAAUAAGGUGUUCAAUAUGGAUUGAAAA